rnacentral:rRNA from 1 species
AGCAUGAGUUAUGUCAUGUUAUCGACAUGUGAAUUCAUAGCAUGUCAGAAGGCAGACCCGGAGAACUGAAACAUCUUAGUACCCGGAGGAAGAGAAAGAAAAAUCGAUUCCCUGAGUAGCGGCGAGCGAAACGGGAAGAGCCCAAACCAACAAGCUUGCUUGUUGGGGUUGUAGGACACUCUAUACGGAGUUACAAAAGAACAUGUUAGACGAAUCAUCUGGAAAGAUGAAUCAAAGAAGGUAAUAAUCCUGUAGUCGAAAACAUAUUCUCUCUUGAGUGGAUCCUGAGUACGACGGAGCACGUGAAAUUCCGUCGGAAUCUGGGAGGACCAUCUCCUAAGGCUAAAUACUCUCUAGUGACCGAUAGUGAACCAGUACCGUGAGGGAAAGGUGAAAAGUACCCCGGAAGGGGAGUGAAAGAGAACUUGAAACCGUGUGCUUACAAGUAGUCAGAGCCCGUUAAUGGGUGAUGGCGUGCCUUUUGUAGAAUGAACCGGCGAGUUACGAUCUGAUGCAAGGUUAAGCAGCAAAUGUGGAGCCGCAGCGAAAGCGAGUCUGAAUAGGGCGUUGAGUAUUUGGUCGUAGACCCGAAACCAGGUGAUCUACCCUUGGUCAGGUUGAAGUUCAGGUAACACUGAAUGGAGGACCGAACCGACUUACGUUGAAAAGUGAGCGGAUGAACUGAGGGUAGCGGAGAAAUUCCAAUCGAACUUGGAGAUAGCUGGUUCUCUCCGAAAUAGCUUUAGGGCUAGCCUCAAGUGAUGAUUAUUGGAGGUAGAGCACUGUUUGGACGAGGGGCCCCUCUCGGGUUACCGAAUUCAGACAAACUCCGAAUGCCAAUUAAUUUAACUUGGGAGUCAGAACAUGGGUGAUAAGGUCCGUGUUCGAAAGGGAAACAGCCCAGACCACCAGCUAAGGUCCCAAAAUAUAUGUUAAGUGGAAAAGGAUGUGGCGUUGCCCAGACAACUAGGAUGUUGGCUUAGAAGCAGCCAUCAUUUAAAGAGUGCGUAAUAGCUCACUAGUCGAGUGACACUGCGCCGUAA